rnacentral:rRNA from 1 species
AGAGUUUGAUCCUGGCUCAGGAUGAACGCUGGCGGCGUGCUAACACAUGCAAGUCGAACGGGCGCGGCGUGCGGCAGGGGCCUCGGCCUCUGCGGCGUCGCGCGAGUGGCGGACGGGUGAGUAACGCUGGGCAACCUGCCCUGUACUGGGGGAUAACACCUGGAAACAGGUGCUAAUACCGCAUAAGCGCGCUGUGCCGCAUGGCACGGCGCGGAAAACCCCGGUGGUACAGGAUGGGCCCGCGUCUGAUUAGCUGGUUGGCAGGGUAACGGCCUACCAAGGCGACGAUCAGUAGCCGGCCUGAGAGGGUGGACGGCCACACUGGGACUGAGACACGGCCCAGACUCCUACGGGAGGCAGCAGUGGGGGAUAUUGCACAAUGGGGGGAACCCUGAUGCAGCGACGCCGCGUGGGUGAAGGAGCGUUUCGGCGCGUAAAGCUCUAUCGGCAGGGAAGAAGAUGACGGUACCUGACCAAGAAGCCCCGGCUAACUACGUG